rnacentral:rRNA from 1 species
AGUUGCUGCAGUUAAAAAGCUCGUAGCUGAACCUUGGCCUUGGUUGACCGGUCCGCCUAACGGUGUGCACUGGCUUGACCGAGGCUUUCCUUCUGGCUAGCCUGUAUGGUAUUAAUUUAUUGUGCAGGGGAACCAGGACUUUUACUUUGAAAAAAUUAGAGUGUUCAAAGCAGGCUUAUGCUCGAAUACAUUAGCAUGGAAUAAUAGAAUAGGACGUGUGGUUCUAUUUUGUUGGUUUCUAGGACCGCCGUAAUGAUUAAUAGGGACAGUUGGGGACAUUAGUAUUGAGUUGUCAGAGGUGAAAUUCUUGGAUUUACUCAAGACUAACUACUGCGAAAGCAUUUGUCAAGGAUGUUUUCAUUAGUCAAGAACGAAAGUUAGGGGAUCGAAGACGAUCAGAUACCGUCGUAGUCUUAACCAUAAACUAUGCCGACUAGGGAUCGGGCGAUGUUCUUUUCUUGACUCGCCCGGCACCUUAUGAGAAAUCAAAGUUUUUGGGUUCCGGGGGGAGUAUGGUCGCAAGGCUGAAACUUAAAGAAAUUGACGGAAGGGCACCACCAGGAGUGGAGCCUGCGGCUUAAUUUGACUCAACACGGGGAAACUCACCA